GGCUCAAUGGUCUAGUCGUAUGAUUCCUGCUUUGGGUGCAGGAGGCCCCGGGUUCAAAUCCCGGUUGAGCCC
rnacentral:tRNA from 1 species